rnacentral:tRNA from 1 species
UAGACUGAAGCCAGAAAUAGGGUAUUUAGCUGUUAACUAAAUUUUCGUGGGUAUUUAAUCCUGCCAGUUU